CACUUCUAAGGAAGGCAGCAGGCGCGCAAAUUACCCAAUCCUGACUCAGGGAGGUAGUGACAAGAAAUAACAAUAAACCGGCUUAUGCCGGUUUAAUUGGAAUGAGUACAAUUUAAACAUCUUAACGAGGAACAAUUGGAGGGCAAGUCUGGUGCCAGCAGCCGCGGUAAUUCCAGCUCCAAUAGCGUAUACUAAAGUUGUUGCGGUUAAAAAGCUCGUAGUUGGAUUUCUGUGGGGACGGAGCGGCCGGCCGCAACACGCGGUUCGAGCUAGCGCUUUCCCUACAUCCUGCCGCGAACCGUGCUACCAUUAAUUUGGUGGCGCCGGGGAUCGGCUCGAUUACUUUGAGAAAAAUAGAGUGUUCAAAGCAGGCCACGUGCCUUGAAUAAGUUAGCAUGGAAUAAUAACUAAGGACUUCGGUUCUAUUUUGUUGGUGUUCGGGACUGAAGUAAUGAUUGAUAGGGACAGUUGGGGCGGUCUGUAUUCCAAAGCGAGAGGUGAAAUUCUUAGACCUUCGGAAGACAAACAGCUGCGAAAGCGUUCCGCAAGGAUGUUCCCUUUGAUCAAGAACGAAAGUUGGGGGAUCGAAGACGAUCAGAUACCGUCGUAGUCUCAACUAUAAACUAUACCAGCUAGGGAUCGGCCAACGUUAUUUUAUACCGACUUGGUCGGCACCUUAUGAGAAAUCAAAGCAUCUGGGUUCCGGGGGGAGUAUGGUCGCAAGGCUGAAACUUAAAGGAAUUGACGGAAGGGCACCACCAGCCGUGGAGCCUGUGGCUUAAUUUGACUCAACACGGGAAAACUUACCAGGUCCAGACAUAGUAAGGAUUGACAGAUUGAUAGCUCUUUCUUGAUUCUGUGGGUGGUGGUGCAUGGCCGUUCUUAGUUGGUGGAGUGAUUUGUCUGGUUAAUUCCGUUAACGAACGAGACCCCAGCCUGCUAAAUAGCGCGCGUGAGCUUUGCUCGCGGCGAGCUUCUUAGAGGGACUCUGAUGCGCGAUAGCACAUGGAAGUUUGGGGCAAUAACCGGUCUGUGAUGCCCUUAGAUGUUCUGGGCCGCACACGGGCUACACUGGCGCCUGCAACGAGCAUAUCAGCUGGCCCGAGAGGGUCUUGGCUAAUCUUUUGAACCGGCGCCGUGCUUGGGAUUGACCUUUGCAAUUGUUGGUCAUGCAACGAGGAAUGCCUUGUAAACGCGAGUCAUCAGCUCGCAUUGAAUACGUCCCUGCCCUUUGUACACACCGCCCGUCGCUCCUACCGAUGAAUG
rnacentral:rRNA from 1 species